UAGGGAAUCUUCCACAAUGGGCGAAAGCCUGAUGGAGCAACGCCGCGUGGGUGAAGAAGGUCUUCGGAUCGUAAAGCUCUGUUGUUGGAGAAGAACGUGCGUGAGAGUAACUGUUCACGCAGUGACGGUAUCCAACCAGAAAGUCACGGCUAACUACGUGCCAGCAGCCGCGGUAAUACGUAGGUGGCAAGCGUUAUCCGGAUUUAUUGGGCGUAAAGGGAACGCAGGCGGUCCUUUAAGUCUGAUGUGAAAGCCUUCGGCUUAACCGGAGUAGUGCAUUGGAAACUGGGAGACUUGAGUGCUGAAGAGGACAGUGGAACUCCAUGUGUAGCGGUGGAAUGCGUAGAUAUAUGGAAGAACACCAGUGGCGAAGGCGGCUGUCUGGUCUGCAACUGACGCUGAGGCUCGAAAGCAUGGGUAGCGAACAGG
rnacentral:rRNA from 1 species